rnacentral:rRNA from 1 species
AUUGAACGCUGGCGGCAGGCCUAACACAUGCAAGUCGAGCGGCAGCGACUUAACUGAACCUUUGGGGAACGUUAAGGGCGGCGAGCGGCGGACGGGUGAGUAAUGCCUGGGAAUAUGCCCUGAUGUGGGGGAUAACUAUUGGAAACGAUAGCUAAUACCGCAUAAUCUCUUCGGAGCAAAGAGGGGGACCUUCGGGCCUCUCGCGUCAGGAUUAGCCCAGGUGGGAUUAGCUUGUUGGUGAGGUAAUGGCUCACCAAGGCUACGAUCCCUAGCUGGUCUGAGAGGAUGAUCAGCCACACUGGAACUGAGACACGGUCCAGACUCCUACGGGAGGCAGCAGUGGGGAAUAUUGCACAAUGGGGGAAACCCUGAUGCAGCCAUGCCGCGUGUGUGAAGAAGGCCUUCGGGUUGUAAAGCACUUUCAGUAGGGAGGAAGGUAGUGCAGUUAACACCUGCAUUAUUUGACGUUACCUACAGAAGAAGCACCGGCUAACUCCGUGCCAGCAGCCGCGGUAAUACGGAGGGUGCGAGCGUUAAUCGGAAUUACUGGGCGUAAAGCGCAUGCAGGCGGCCUGUUAAGUCAGAUGUGAAAGCCCGGGGCUUAACCUCGGAAUUGCAUUUGAAACUGGCAGGCUAGAGUCUUGUAGAGGGGGGUAGAAUUUCAGGUGUAGCGGUGAAAUGCGUAGAGAUCUGAAGGAAUACCAGUGGCGAAGCCCCCUGGACAAAGACUGACGCUCAGAUGCGAAAGCGUGGGGAGCAAACAGG